rnacentral:rRNA from 1 species
GGGUUGUGAGGUUAAGCGACUAAGCGUACACGGUGGAUGCCCUGGCAGUCAGAGGCGAUGAAGGACGUGCUAAUCUGCGAUAAGCGUCGGUAAGGUGAUAUGAACCGUUAUAACCGGCGAUUUCCGAAUGGGGAAACCCAGUGUGUUUCGACACACUAUCAUUAACUGAAUCCAUAGGUUAAUGAGGCGAACCGGGGGAACUGAAACAUCUAAGUACCCCGAGGAAAAGAAAUCAACCGAGAUUCCCCCAGUAGCGGCGAGCGAACGGGGAGCAGCCCAGAGCCUGAAUCAGUGUGUGUGUUAGUGGAAGCGUCUGGAAAGGCGCGCGAUACAGGGUGACAGCCCCGUACACAAAAAUGCACAUGCUGUGAGCUCGAUGAGUAGGGCGGGACACGUGGUAUCCUGUCUGAAUAUGGGGGGACCAUCCUCCAAGGCUAAAUACUCCUGACUGACCGAUAGUGAACCAGUACCGUGAGGGAAAGGCGAAAAGAACCCCGGCGAGGGGAGUGAAAAAGAACCUGAAACCGUGUACGUACAAGCAGUGGGAGCACGCUUAGGCGUGUGACUGCGUACCUUUUGUAUAAUGGGUCAGCGACUUAUAUUCUGUAGCAAGGUUAACCGAAUAGGGGAGCCGAAGGGAAACCGAGUCUUAACUGGGCGUUAAGUUGCAGGGUAUAGACCCGAAACCCGGUGAUCUAGCCAUGGGCAGGUUGAAGGUUGGGUAACACUAACUGGAGGACCGAACCGACUAAUGUUGAAAAAUUAGCGGAUGACUUGUGGCUGGGGGUGAAAGGCCAAUCAAACCGGGAGAUAGCUGGUUCUCCCCGAAAGCUAUUUAGGUAGCGCCUCGUGAAUUCAUCUCCGGGGGUAGAGCACUGUUUCGGCAAGGGGGUCAUCCCGACUUACCAACCCGAUGCAAACUGCGAAUACCGGAGAAUGUUAUCACGGGAGACACACGGCGGGUGCUAACGUCCGUCGUGAAGAGGGAAACAACCCAGACCGCCAGCUAAGGUCCCAAAGUCAUGGUUAAGUGGGAAACGAUGUGGGAAGGCCCAGACAGCCAGGAUGUUGGCUUAGAAGCAGCCAUCAUUUAAAGAAAGCGUAAUAGCUCACUGGUCGAGUCGGCCUGCGCGGAAGAUGUAACGGGGCUAAACCAUGCACCGAAGCUGCGGCAGCGACGCUUAUGCGUUGUUGGGUAGGGGAGCGUUCUGUAAGCCUGUGAAGGUGUGCUGUGAGGCAUGCUGGAGGUAUCAGAAGUGCGAAUGCUGACAUAAGUAACGAUAAAGCGGGUGAAAAGCCCGCUCGCCGGAAGACCAAGGGUUCCUGUCCAACGUUAAUCGGGGCAGGGUGAGUCGACCCCUAAGGCGAGGCCGAAAGGCGUAGUCGAUGGGAAACAGGUUAAUAUUCCUGUACUUGGUGUUACUGCGAAGGGGGGACGGAGAAGGCUAUGUUGGCCGGGCGACGGUUGUCCCGGUUUAAGCGUGUAGGCUGGUUUUCCAGGCAAAUCCGGAAAAUCAAGGCUGAGGCGUGAUGACGAGGCACUACGGUGCUGAAGCAACAAAUGCCCUGCUUCCAGGAAAAGCCUCUAAGCAUCAGGUAACAUCAAAUCGUACCCCAAACCGACACAGGUGGUCAGGUAGAGAAUACCAAGGCGCUUGAGAGAACUCGGGUGAAGGAACUAGGCAAAAUGGUGCCGUAACUUCGGGAGAAGGCACGCUGAUAUGUAGGUGAAGUCCCUCGCGGAUGGAGCUGAAAUCAGUCGAAGAUACCAGCUGGCUGCAACUGUUUAUUAAAAACACAGCACUGUGCAAACACGAAAGUGGACGUAUACGGUGUGACGCCUGCCCGGUGCCGGAAGGUUAAUUGAUGGGGUUAGCCGCAAGGCGAAGCUCUUGAUCGAAGCCCCGGUAAACGGCGGCCGUAACUAUAACGGUCCUAAGGUAGCGAAAUUCCUUGUCGGGUAAGUUCCGACCUGCACGAAUGGCGUAAUGAUGGCCAGGCUGUCUCCACCCGAGACUCAGUGAAAUUGAACUCGCUGUGAAGAUGCAGUGUACCCGCGGCAAGACGGAAAGACCCCGUGAACCUUUACUAUAGCUUGACACUGAACAUUGAGCCUUGAUGUGUAGGAUAGGUGGGAGGCUUUGAAGUGUGGACGCCAGUCUGCAUGGAGCCGACCUUGAAAUACCACCCUUUAAUGUUUGAUGUUCUAACGUUGACCCGUAAUCCGGGUUGCGGACAGUGUCUGGUGGGUAGUUUGACUGGGGCGGUCUCCUCCUAAAGAGUAACGGAGGAGCACGAAGGUUGGCUAAUCCUGGUCGGACAUCAGGAGGUUAGUGCAAUGGCAUAAGCCAGCUUGACUGCGAGCGUGACGGCGCGAGCAGGUGCGAAAGCAGGUCAUAGUGAUCCGGUGGUUCUGAAUGGAAGGGCCAUCGCUCAACGGAUAAAAGGUACUCCGGGGAUAACAGGCUGAUACCGCCCAAGAGUUCAUAUCGACGGCGGUGUUUGGCACCUCGAUGUCGGCUCAUCACAUCCUGGGGCUGAAGUAGGUCCCAAGGGUAUGGCUGUUCGCCAUUUAAAGUGGUACGCGAGCUGGGUUUAGAACGUCGUGAGACAGUUCGGUCCCUAUCUGCCGUGGGCGCUGGAGAACUGAGGGGGGCUGCUCCUAGUACGAGAGGACCGGAGUGGACGCAUCACUGGUGUUCGGGUUGUCAUGCCAAUGGCACUGCCCGGUAGCUAAAUGCGGAAGAGAUAAGUGCUGAAAGCAUCUAAGCACGAAACUUGCCCCGAGAUGAGUUCUCCCUGACUCCUUGAGAGUCCUGAAGGAACGUUGAAGACGACGACGUUGAUAGGCCGGGUGUGUAAGCGCAGCGAUGCGUUGAGCUAACCGGUACUAAUGAACCGUGAGGCUUAACCUUACAACGCCGAAGGUGUUU